rnacentral:rRNA from 1 species
UACGUAGGGUGCGAGCGUUGUCCGGAAUUACUGGGCGUAAAGAGCUCGUAGGUGGUUUGUCGCGUUGUCCGUGAAAACUCACAGCUUAACUGUGGGCGUGCGGGCGAUACGGGCAGACUGGAGUACUGCAGGGGAGACUGGAAUUCCUGGUGUAGCGGUGGAAUGCGCAGAUAUCAGGAGGAACACCGGUGGCGAAGGCGGGUCUCUGGGCAGUAACUGACGCUGAGGAGCGAAAAGCGUGGGGAGCGAACAGG